rnacentral:rRNA from 1 species
UGGGGAAUAUUGGGGCAAUGGGGGGAAAACCCUGACCCAGCAACGCCGCGUGAAGGAAGAAGGCCUUCGGUUGUAAACUUCUUUUACCUAGGGACGAAGAACGUGACGGUACCUGGAGAAAAAGACCACGGCUAACUACGUGCCAGCAGCCGCGGUAAUACGUAGGUGGCAAGCGUUGUCCGGAUUUACUGGGUGUAAAGGCGUGUAGGCGGAGCUGCAAGUCAGAAGUGAAAUCCAUGGGCUCAACCCAUGAACUGCUUUUGAAACUGUAGCCCUUGAGUAUCGGAGAGGCAGGCGGAAUUCCUAGUGUAGCGGUGAAAUGCGUAGAUAUUAGGAGGAACACCAGU